rnacentral:rRNA from 1 species
GACGAACGCUGGCGGCGUGCUUAACACAUGCCAGUCGAACGGAAAGGCCCUGCUUUUGUGGGGUGCUCGAGUGGCGAACGGGUGAGUAACACGUGAGUAACCUGCCCUUGACUUUGGGAUAACUUCAGGAAACUGGGGCUAAUACCGGAUAGGAGCUCCUGCUGCAUGGUGGGGGUUGGAAAGUUUCGGCGGUUGGGGAUGGACUCGCGGCUUAUCAGCUUGUUGGUGGGGUAGUGGCUUACCAAGGCUUUGACGGGUAGCCGGCCUGAGAGGGUGACCGGCCACAUUGGGACUGAGAUACGGCCCAGACUCCGACGGGAGGCAGCAGUGGGGAAUAUUGCACAAUGGGCGGAAGCCUGAUGCAGCAACGCCGCGUGCGGGAUGACGGCCUUCGGGUUGUAAACCGCUUUCGCCUGUGACGAAGCGUGAGUGACGGUAAUGGGUAAAGAAGCACCGGCUAACUACGUG